rnacentral:ncRNA from 1 species
GUUGUUGCAAUGGUAAUCCUGCUCAGUACGAGAGGAACCGCAGGUUUAGACAUUUGGUGCGUGUGCUUGGCUGAGGAGCCAAUGGUGCGAAGCUACCAUCUGCCUCUAAGUCAGAAUCCCGCCUAGACGUGACGAU